rnacentral:sRNA from 1 species
GAAGGGCGGAAGCCGGAAAGUUGGUCAAACUUGAUCAUUUAGAGGAAGUAAAAGUCGUAACAAGGUUUCCGUAGGUGAACCUGCGGAAGGAUCAUUACCGAUGCCAAUGCAAACCUGUCGCUACCGUGUGAACUGUACCUAACCUUAAGGGGUCGGCAAGUCCGUCAAACGGCGGUCGUACGCGUCCCGCGGGGCGCGGACGCUCCGCCGGCCCCGCCAGUGCGUGUGUCGCUGUCAUGUGUUGUUGUCUGAUGUGGGGGGGGGGGGAGUCGCCCCUGCGAGAGCAAAAGAAGGAGAUACAACUUUUGACGGUGGAUCUCUUGGCUCACGCAUCGAUGAAGAACGCAGCCAGCUGCGAUAAGUAGUGUGAAUUGCAGAAUUCAGUGAAUCAUCGAAUCUUUGAACGCAAAUGGCGCUCUUGGGUUCUCCCAGGAGCAUGUCUGUCUGAGUGUCUGAUUCCGUCCAGCGCACCACCCCGGUGCGGCGUUGAGGCGUCACGGCCGCCGGGAAGCGGCACCGUGUCCCUCGAAGGCAAGAGAGACUCGCGAAGCCCGGGGUUCCCGGCGCACUCGCGUAGGCUGUAAAGGCUGUAAAGGCCCUUCGCGUGCCGGCGCAGCCGCCGGGCCACCGAGUCGAAGGAGGCAAAGGAGAAGGGAGAGAGCUAGCGUCUCGACCUCAGAUCAGGCGGGGCUACCCGCUGAAUUUAAGCAUAUCA